UCAUAAAACUCAAUUUCUGAUAAAUUACGAAAACUGUGCUAAAAAAUGUGUAUAGGGCAGAGAAAAGUAAUACAUGUAAAAUUGUGAUAUAAUAAAUUAUGCUAUUCAGAGAUUUCAUUUAUAUAUCUAUCUUACAUUUCUCUCAUUACAAAUAUUAUAUUUUCAUAAUUCAAUAAAUCUUCUUACAAACCAGAUUCAAAAAGUUACAUUGUAAGCAUAUAACUAAAUUAAGCAAUAAUGAAACCAAGCUGCCUACUGCAAUAUAAUGCUAUACAAUUCUAUAAAUAGAGACUCAGAGCAGAGUUUAAGACUCACAAGUUUACAACCCCUAAAUUCCUAUAGGGAAGAUAUUUUUAACAAAUUAAGCAUCCAAGGGCUAUUUUAUUUGUUCAUCAAUCACAUAAUUUCAAAACAUUCAAAAAAGAUAUAAGAAUAUAUUUCAGUAAAGUUUAAUCAUAGGCAGCCGUGUUUUCAUUCUGAUUUAUUUCAAAUAAAGAUCCAAAGCCCCCCUGUUUGCAACCCAGUAAAAGAGGAUCAUUUAUAAUAGGAAUCAAAUAUGACAGCAAUUUUUAAUUCAACUAGAAUUUUUAGAGAUUACCUCCUUUCAUUACAACUAAACUCAGACCAAAAUCUGCAAAGGGAUUUCAGAGAAAAAAGAAAGAAAUGCAAAAAGAUUACUAACCAGGAACAAAAAAAGAACCUAGUAAUAGCAGUGUUUCACAGUACCCAUAGGCUUUAAUAAGGCAUGACAAAUUAAAAAUAUUGACCUGGAUAUAUGCAGGAAUAAUGCCCAAACAAUAUUUUAAAACUAAGAUAUAAAUUUGAUUGUUUGAAUAAACAAUUCAAUAUAUACACAAUAAUCUGUCUUUUUCUUUUGCAAGCAAUGACAUCAACAAUGAAAACUUAAUACAAAUAGUAACUCUUUAUAAAGAUAUUUAAUGUUUUGUUUCAAGUUAUUUAUG
rnacentral:lncRNA from 1 species